AUUUCUUGGAGAUGGCUAUAUUUCCUAGAUCACUCGAUCGAUCAAAAUUUCCCUUACAAAAAUUAUCUUAUCAGUGCCACUGUGUAUUUUGAUUAACAAGCAGGACGGCCCGAGCCAGACGUUUACGCCUACAAUGCCCUCAUGGAGGCUUACAGCCACACAGGGUUUCCACAAGCCGCUAUC